rnacentral:rRNA from 1 species
CCUACGGGCGGCAGCAGUAGGGAAUUUUGCGCAAUGGGCGAAACCCUGACGCAGCAACGCCGCGUGAUCGAUGAAGCCCUUCGGGGUGUAAAGAUCUGUCAGAGGGGACGAAACCUGACGGUACCCACUGAGGAAGCACCGGCUAACUCCGUGCCAGCAGCCGCGGUAAUACGGGGGGUGCAAGCGUUGUCCGGAAUCAGUGGGCGUAAAGAGUUCGUAGGUGGGACGUUAAGUCUGGUGGUAAAGGCGGAAGCUCAACUUCCGUAGCGCACUGGAUAAUGGCGAACUUGAAGGCGGUAGAGGUAAACGGAAUGCCUGGUGUAGCGGUGAAAGGCGUAGAUAUCAGGAGGAACAUCGGGGGCGUAAGCACUUUACUGGGUCGUAAUUGACACUGAGGAACGAAAGCCGGGGUAGCAAAUGGGAUUAGAUACCCUUGUAGUC